rnacentral:piRNA from 1 species
UUCGUUCACCGAAACACUUUU